AAAAAGAUAUUCAAGGAUAUGAUAAAGAGCAUAUUUCUUGACCAAAAUGGCACAUCUUUCUUAGUCUUCCUUCCCCCAAUGGAAUGAGCACAACAAGGUACUAAUACCACCAUUAAAAGGAAAAAACUAAAAGAAGACGUGCCAAUGUACAAGUUACAUCAUAAUUUACGUUGUAUCUCUAACAAAUCUCAUAAAUCUAACAAGGUUGGGAGGAGGUUGU
rnacentral:lncRNA from 1 species